CGCGCAUCUGAGCGUUGGACUGUUCGGGUACCCGUCUGCCUGUUUUUCUAUUUUGGGAUUUAGCCUGGUUUGGUGGCCUCCCGGCGAAUUAUUGCGGUCAUUCGGAGCUUCGACAUGGCAGCACUGCACUAUUGGACUACGGCAAGCUCACGUCGUCUGGUGGAGCUUCCUGCGGAAACUACUGCUGCUUACCUUGUGCCACAAUGCUGGAUGAAUGCACAAAAAGCCCGCGACGAGCAUUUACAAAGAACAAAAUAAACGUUAAUUUUUCCUCAUUUCACAA
rnacentral:lncRNA from 1 species